AAAGAGGGACAAGUGGCCGCGGGCAAGCAGUAGCCUGAGGAAAGUCCGGACUCUGAGGGCAAGGCGCCGGUUAACUGCCGGAGGGGGAAACCUCUGGAAAGUGCUAUAGAAAAGAAAACCGCCGAAAGGCAAGGUUGGAACGGUGAGGUAAGAGCUCACCAGCAACAGAGUGAUCUGUUGGCUUGGUAAACCCCGCCUUGAGCAAGGUCAAACAGGAAAGGUGCUUGCGAAAGGGUUCCUUCCGCAAGGGUAGGUUGCCCGCCGAAUCCUUUCCGGGUAGACCGCAUAGAGAAAUGGCCACUCAAAGACAGAAUCCGGCUUAUCGUCCCUCUUUAUUU
rnacentral:RNase_P_RNA from 2 species